AGUGAACGCUGGCGGUAGGCCUAACACAUGCAAGUCGAACGGCAGCACAGUAAGAGCUUGCUCUUACGGGUGGCGAGUGGCGGACGGGUGAGGAAUACAUCGGAAUCUACUUUUUCGUGGGGGAUAACGUAGGGAAACUUACGCUAAUACCGCAUACGACCUACGGGUGAAAGCAGGGGAUCUUCGGACCUUGCGCGAUUGAAUGAGCCGAUGUCGGAUUAGCUAGUUGGCGGGGUGAAGGCCCACCAAGGCGACGAUCCGUAGCUGGUCUGAGAGGAUGAUCAGCCACACUGGAACUGAGACACGGUCCAGACUCCUACGGGAGGCGGCAGUGGGGAAUAUUGGACAAUGGGCGCAAGCCUGAUCCAGCCAUACCGCGUGGGUGAAGAAGGCCUUCGGGUUGUAAAGCCCUUUUGUUGGGAAAGAAAAGCAGCAGGUUAAUACCCCGCUGUUCUGACGGUACCCAAAGAAUAAGCACCGGCUAACUUCGUG
rnacentral:rRNA from 1 species